AAGGCUUAAAUGCAGUUUUGGUCCCCCAAGUUUCCUAAUUGCUCUAUUUUGGUCCCCCUAAUUUCAAUUGCUUGAUUUUAAUCCCUCACUUUUACCCCCUUUUGCAAUUUGUGGCCCCUCUUGACUAUUUUGACCAAAAUUAUGCUGACAUGGAUAUUAUAUACACGUGUCUUAAUUUAAUUGGUCAAAACAAAUAUGUAUUAUUUAUUUAAAAAUAAAAAAAUUAAUUGGAAGCCAAGGUCACGUGAGUAUUAUUUUUAUUUUGCAGAAACUCAUUGUUGUCUCUCCCAAU
rnacentral:lncRNA from 1 species